AUGCCAAAUCUAAUUUUUCUCCUCCCAGUUUCACUUUCCCUCUAAAUCCCUAGUUUCAACCUCACACGAUUUUUUUGCUUUCGCUCUCCAAAUUCGCUUUCCAAAUUCUCAUUCUCUCGCCGCCAUCGUCUUGUCUUCUCUCUCGCAUCUCAACUUCGCCAGUGACAUUUGGAUUGGAUUGGAUUGCAAUUUCCUGUUACGCUCGCUCGUGUUCUACUUGCGGUGUUGAAUUCACACCUGGAAAUGUAGGAGACGAGAAAUCACAUGCGCAAUUUCACAAAAGUUUCAAACAAGGAAUCCAAUUCAGAGGUUUGACUAAUGAAAGGAUUAUUUCUUCUCAUAAGAGUGGUGGAAUUAUUUUGGUGUCUAAUACUGAGCAAUCUUCUUAUAGAAACCAUCAACAUUGAUAGGUUGAAGAAGUUGUGAAGAUGAUGGAAAUUGAGUCAGGAAGGGAUAGCUCAUCAGCACUUUAAGGACAAUAAGGAUUUGAUUGAUAAGGUUCAGUGAUGUCUGGUUGAUAAUAGAAGUUUAUUGUAGAAGUUUAUUGCAGUGUGCGCAAGCAUUCAUGGCCACUCACUUAUCGGUAAAGACGAUGCCACACACCUAUUACAAAUAUCUUAUUGUGUUAUUAAAAAUAGAAGCUGCCAGUAUCAUGGAAAUGAAGACUUACAAUACAGAAGUUGCUUUCCUAAAAUAUUGAUGCACCCAAACAAUUUACAAUGGUUGCAUUAGUUUGAUGAUGGAAACUCACCAAUUUACAACACCAGGCUAUUGUAGCAGAUCUGCAGGACGCAAUUCACAAGCGAAGUAAGUGACCAAUUUGUUUCCGAGUUUGAAGUGUUUCAUGUUUGAUAUCUUCUUCUCAUCAGUUGCUUAUUGUAUGAAAAUAUGUGUAGUAACUUUAGGAUAAGAUCUUGCAUUUGUAAAGUAUUCUUCAUUGUCAAAUAGUUUAAUACUGAAUAAUAGUACCAGUCAUUGUUGAGAGAGACUCACAGGAGCCACUAGGGAAUGAUGUUUCCGUUCAACAAGCUGACAACAUCAUCUUCUUGGAUGUUGUUGGAGGAGUGGACAAGAAGGGACGCAUAUAUGGUUUGGGUCCAGAAGUAGAGAGGUACAAGCGAUCUAGAUUUUCCACUUAUGACGGUAUCUCAUCAUCUGAAUAUCAACACAUGAGGACUAUAAUUUCUGAAUUGUCCGCUGAAAAUAUGACUCUUAAAGAGAAAUUGAAGACUCAUGAGGAGUUGAUUCACCAAUCCCAGGAAGAUUCGCGUUUGCUUAGGGAGCAAUUAUUUCAAUUUAUGGAGAAGUUUUCUUUGAGUCAUCUACCUCCACGUUCGGAUCCACCUCCACCUCCACCACCUACUACUUGAUACAUAUAUUUAGUUAUGGUUGUUUUGAGUGUUUGGUCGUAUACACUUAAUUUCAAAAACAAUGCUUUUUUGAUAAAAAAAUAACAAUGUUAGUAGUAUUAGUUUCAAGAACAAUGUUAUAUUAGUUAUGGCUUCCAUGUAUUUUGGUGAUUGUGUAUAAAUUCUUAUGAACACAAUUUAAAAAGUAUUUCUUAUUAAA